GUGGCUUCGGCUACCACUUACAGAUGGACCCGCGGCGCAUUAGCUAGUUGGUGAGGUAACGGCUCACCAAGGCAACGAUGCGUAGCCGACCUGAGAGGGUGAUCGGCCACACUGGGACUGAGACACGGCCCAGACUCCUACGGGAGGCAGCAGUAGGGAAUCUUCCGCAAUGGACGAAAGUCUGACGGAGCAACGCCGCGUGAGUGAUGAAGGUUUUCGGAUCGUAAAGCUCUGUUGUUAGGGAAGAACAAGUACCGUUCGAAUAGGGCGGUACCUUGACGGUACCUAACCAGAAAGCCACGGCUAACUACGUGCCAGCAGCCGCGGUAAUACGUAGGUGGCAAGCGUUGUCCGGAAUUAUUGGGCGUAAAGGGCUCGCAGGCGGUUUCUUAAGUCUGAUGUGAAAGCCCCCGGCUCAACCGGGGAGGGUCAUUGGAAACUGGGGAACUUGAGUGCAGAAGAGGAGAGUGGAAUUCCACGUGUAGCGGUGAAAUGCGUAGAGAUGUGGAGGAACACCAGUGGCGAAGGCGACUCUCUGGUCUGUAACUGACGCUGAGGAGCGAAAGCGUGGGGAGCGAACAGGAUUAGAUACCCUGGUAGUCCACGCCGUAAACGAUGAGUGCUAAGUGUU
rnacentral:rRNA from 1 species